GCUUGGUAGCCGAGUGGGUAAGGUGCUUAUAGCUAUUUACUCGAUAAGGAAUAGCGAUGGAUUGAGUCCAUCCCGGAGCA